CCCUUAGAUGUUCUGGGCCGCACGCGUGCUACACUGAGUGGAUCAGCGGGUCAGGUUGCGCGAAAGUGUUUCCUAAUCUUGAAAUCCGCUCGUGAUGGGGAUUGACGGUUGCAAUUUUCCGUCGUGAACGAGGAAUACCUUGUAAGCGCGGGUCAUCAUCCCGCGCUGAAUACGUCCCUGCCCUUUGUACACACCGCCCGUCGCUCCUACCGAUUGAGUGGUCCGGUGAGGCUUUGGGAUCUGAGCAAAAAGAGCGUUUCGCUCGUUUGGCUCGGAAAACUCAGUCGAACCUUAUCAUUUAGAGGAAGGAGAAGUCGUAACA
rnacentral:rRNA from 1 species